GUGCUUGCUUUGGCAGCACAUAUACUAAAAAUUGGAAUGAUACGGAGAUUAGCGUGGCCCCUGCACAAGGAUGACACACAAAUUCGUGAAGCGUCCCAUAUUUUU